rnacentral:lncRNA from 1 species
UGUUCCCAGAAGCAACCUUGAUAAAGGUCAGCAAAGUGCUCAGGGGCCUGGCCGAGAGCUGAGGGUGGGGCUGGGCCGACAGAACCAGGCCUUGCACGGUCUGUGGUACCACAAAGGGCUGAGUGUGAAAUCAGACUUUACCCAUCAGAUCCCAGACACUGAAGCAAGGGGGCUUUCGGAGUAGAGAAAAGGCGGGAAGGAGGAGAGCGACUGCGUUCAUCUGAAGGAUAAAUGGGAGGAAAGGCCCAGAAACCUGGUGAUGCAGGCGGACAGCAGAGUGGCAGGUGGCAGCUCUGUAGACAUCAGCUCACCUGGCACACACCGCGUGCACCUCCAGGAUGGGGAGAGAUGGCCACGCGUGAGGUCCAUAGAGGCUUCUGGAACUUGCAGCGCAGCUGGGGCCCCACACAGAGCUACCCAGGUGGGGGUGGGGCUGUGACAGCUGUCCGCCUUUCUGAGUGGGGCGAGGUGACAGGAGUAGUCAGAAACAGUGUUCCAGAGGUGGGAACAGCAUGUGUGAGGGACCCAGCGGAGCCAGCGACAGCCCAGCCCCCUACUCGAGCGAGCCCCGCCGGGGUGGGUCCCAGAGGCCCAGGGCUCUGGGGGCUCAGUGAAGGUGGGUGGUGCUCCAUGAAGUCACCAAGUGGCUAGGCCAGGCCCCGUGAGCUCCUGGCCCAUGGGCAGAAGCCAGGCUCACCUGCGUGGUGGGAGUAGUUGCUGGAUACAGCUGGGUUUGCAUUUCACAGGCCCAACAGUUGCCAAUCACCCUCCCCUGCCACACUGAUGUCCCAGCCAACACGGCCACCGGCGACCCUGAGACACGAGAGCUGAUCAGGAGCCACUGGCCUGCAUCCCAGGUGUGAAGGAUAGGAGCCAGCAUGGCCCAGGCAGUGUUGGGGACACCCAUGGCCCCCUGGGGACCCCACUAUCACUCACCAAGGCCAGGCUGGUGGGUCAGAGAUGGAGGUCACCUGGGAGACAGUCAGGGCCCAAGCCUGGCCACAUGGGCAGAAAGCCCGAGAAGCGUCGGGUGUCAGGUGCCCCAGAUUCUGCAGAUUCUCCCUUUGGACGUUUCCACCCAAACAUGCCGCGUGGAAGCUGCCUCCAUCCAGGCAGCGGGCCUUGGCGGUGCUCCAGGAACCUGCUCUUCCCUUAUGAGGGACCCA